CAGUCGCCACGGGAAAACGUAGGCGGCAAGCGUUGUCCGGAAUUAUUGGGCGUAAAGGGCGCGCAGGCGGCUUCUUAAGUCUGUCUUAAAAGUGCGGGGCUUAACCCCGUGAUGGGAUGGAAACUGGGAAGCUCAGAGUAUCGGAGAGGAAAGCGGAAUUCCUAGUGUAGCGGUGAAAUGCGUAGAUAUUAGGAGGAACACCAGUGGCGAAAGCGGCUUUCUGGACGAAAACUGACGCUGAGGCGCGAAAGCCAGGGGAGCGAACGGGAUUAGAUACCCCGGUAGUCCCUGUCUCUUAUAC
rnacentral:rRNA from 1 species